rnacentral:pre_miRNA from 1 species
AGUACAAUGGCUGGAUCAUAUGUCUAGACUAUGUUUAGUUUUUCAAGAAACUGCUAAACUGUCUUCCAAAGUAGCUGAGCAGUUUACAUUUCCAUCAGCAAU